UUGAUGUUCUUGGUGUCUUUUGUUG
rnacentral:piRNA from 1 species